GAAGAUACAAGAAGGGAUGAAGAGACGGGCAUACCUGCUUCUGUUGACUGAAGGUGCGUGCAGCGCUGAUGAUGUUUCCCUUUUGCCUUCCUCUGCUUCGGGAGGCGAAGAUGCUUGCAGCGCUGAUGGAUUCUUGCCUAUUGCUUCCCUUUAUCUUCCUUCUGUGUUCACUUGUAUGCGUGUUCCUUUUGUUUUCUCAGCAGCUUUUGAAGCCGAGAAGAUGAUGAAGAGGCCAGCCUGCUGGGAAUUUGUUUUGAUUCUGGGUUUUCGUUGUUUGCAGGGACGAAGGCAUUGGCAGGGCCAAUACUCGUCUCUGUGUAUUGCUGCUCUCUUGUUCUCUCCGUCUCUCUGUGUAUUAUUUCUUUCUCUGGAUUUAUGCUCUGUUUUUCCUCUGUUCUUUUCUCCGGUUUCUGGUUUUUUGUCUGGGUUUAGCUUCAGUUCUGCCCCUCCCUGUUUUCGUCUUUCACCCCAUCGGUUCUUGGCCUGUUAGUCCCUCUCUGUUUUCUGGGUUUUUUCUCUGGGUUUUUACUUGAGUUUUUGCAGAGCAGGAGGAUUUUUGCUUGCGUUUUCUGCCUUGGUUUUUCGCUCAAACCCCCUCCUGGUUCUGUUUCAUCCUCCUGCUCGUUGUCUGUGUGUCUGUCUUUUUUUAUUGUCUCUUGUAUUUUUCUUCUGUUUCAAUUCGUGCUCUGCCUUUCCCUGUAUUUUUUUUGGGUUUUUUCCUUGUGUCGUUUAGGUUCCUCUCUAAUCGUCUUCUCCCUCCUUUUUUAUACCUGAGAUCUGUAUUUACAGUGAUAAAAUUUUUUCGUGCGG
rnacentral:lncRNA from 1 species